GUCCAGGGGCGGGAAUCGAACCCACACCCUUCUGCUUACCACCUGCCCGGUAAGCAGAAGGGUGUGGGUUCGAUUCCCGCCCCUGGACA